GUUCCCAAGCAAUAACCCUUAUAUUUUUGUUUUUUAGUUUUGUCACGAAGAUCUAUUUUUAUAUGAGAGUUGUUUAAUGGUGUUCUGGGCACAAAUGUCAUAAGAAGUCCAUGGAAUGAUAUUAAAAUUAAAUGUGAAGCCUAGAACAUUACUGUAGUACCAAUAGGGCUCCAGACGGGUACUAGCAUCAUAUUAUGAGCACCCCGUGUGGCGUAAUACCCAUAUAAGUGGUUAUCCCUCUCACAGCCUUUAGUCCAAGUACACUGCAAGUGCCUUGCCGUAGAUCACAGUAUGCAAUCUUUUAUAUAUUUUGUAUUUGUUUUAGGGAGUUAUUUGUUGUAUUCUGUGCACGGUAAUGUACUAUUGUCUUUUACUUUUUCUUUCUAGUUAUAUCGAUAAAUAAUUUGAUUACCAUUUCAAACACAGUAAUGUGCUACAUCUCUGCAUUCCGUCAUACUUAAAUCAAGCAUGUUCCAUACACUUGACUAAGUGUUAUAACCAGCACUCCCAGUCAGCUACAUGCCUUUCUACUCUGCCAUAGUUAUAACAGACAGCUGGAUAUGUUAGAUUUAAUCUGUUUAGUGCAUGUUAUUGAAAUUGCGCUGUUAUUUUAUUUUAAUGCCAUGCUAGUACUCAAGAGCAUGGUGCCCUUAAUUAAGCUAAUUCAGUUUAUGCAACCAGUGCCUGUGUACCAAACUAUGGCCUGUUAACGAUCCAGCAAUAGCACUGUGUCUCUCUGAUUCGAAUGCUUAAUAUAAAAAUGUG